UAUAAGAUGGUGUAAGGUGCACAGAAGAGUUUGAGUCUUUGAGUGAUAAUUUAAUUUUAUUUCUUAUAA
rnacentral:tRNA from 1 species